rnacentral:rRNA from 1 species
AUGUACCAUAAGAAAACCCUCAGCCUUCAGGUGAGCAAUCAACCACAGUUCAACGUUUGGAUGCUAAGGGUAGUGUUUGGUCGGUGGUCUAAAACCAACCCUACCGAUUUUUUGGUAAUUGUUCGGAUGGGUGCCAAAUUUUUCGCAUGCCCAAAACCCCGGUUCAUUUUUCUUGCCAGCAUUUGCCAAAUUCUAGCUACCCAAAUAUUUGGUAGGCUAGGCUUGGCUCAAACCAAAGAUGUCCCAACAAAUUCCGGAAGUGCUUCUCAAAUGAAGGUCGACCAGAAUAAUAACAAAUCUUGCAGGAACACCCUGGUGUUAGCUUCAGCUCUAUAUGAAAGCUCUAUAUAUUCUAUCUGA